rnacentral:rRNA from 1 species
CCUACGGGAGGCAGCAGUGAGGAAUAUUGGUCAAUGGUCGCUAGCCUGAACCAGCCAAGUCGCGUGAAGGAUGACUGUCCUAAGUGUUGUAAACUUCUUUUAUCAGGGAAUAAAGUGCGGUAUGUAUACUGCGUUGCGUGUACCUUAUGAAUAAGGAUCGGCUAACUCCGUGCCAGCAGCCGCGGUAAUACGGAGGAUCCGAGCGUUAUCCGGAUUUAUUGGGUUUAAAGGGAGCGUAGGCGGGUUGUUAAGUCAGUUGUGAAAGUUUGCGGCUCAACCGUAAACUUGCCGUUGAACCUGGCAGUCUCGAGUUGGAGAGAAGUAUGCGGAAUGCGCGGUGUAGCGGUGAAAUGCAUAGAUAUCGCGCAGAACUCCGAUUGCGAAGGCAGCAUGCCGGCUCCACACUGACGCUGAGGCACGAAAGCGUGGGUAUCGAACAGGAUUAGAUACCCUUGUAGUC